CCGGGGNUUAACUUCGGGGUGGCAGGCGAUACGGGCAUAACUAGAGUGCUGUAGGGGAGACUGGAAUUCCUGGUGUAGCGGUGGAAUGCGCAGAUAUCAGGAGGAACACCGAUGGCGAAGGCAGGUCUCUGGGCAGUAACUGACGCUGAGGAGCGAAAGCAUGGGGAGCGAACAGGAUUAGAUACCCUGGUAGUCCAUGCUGUAAACGGUGGGCGUUAGGUGUGGGGACCGGUUUGGUUUCUGUGCCGUAGCUAACGCAUUAAGCGCCCCGCCUGGGGAGUACGGCCGCAAGGCUAAAACUCAAAGGAAUUGACGGGGGCCCGCACAAGCGGCGGAGCAUGUGGAUUAAUUCGAUGCAACGCGAAGAACCUUACCUGGGUUUGACAUGCACCAGACGGUUGUAGAGAUACGUACCUCCCUUUGUGGUUGGUGUGCAGGUGGUGCAUGGUUGUCGUCAGCUCGUGUCGUGAGAUGUUGGGUUAAGUUCCGCAACGAGCGCAACCCUUGUCUUAUGUUGCCAGCACUUUGGGUGGGGACUCAUGAGAGACUGCCGGGGUUAACUCGGAGGAAGGUGGGGAUGACGUCAAAUCAUCAUGCCCUUUAUGCCCAGGGCUUCACACAUGCUACAAUGGUUAGUACAACGCGCGGCAAACCUGUGAGGGUGAGCGAAUCGCUGAAAGCUAAUCUCAGUUCGGAUUGGGGUCUGCAACUCGACCCCAUGAAGUCGGAGUCGCUAGUAAUCGCAGAUCAGCAAUGCUGCGGUGAAUACGUUCCCGGGCCUUGUACACACCGCC
rnacentral:rRNA from 1 species